UGCUAUGUUUAUAAAUGGGUUAAUCCAGUUUCUAAUGGCUGUCUCAUUGACAGCCGCUAGAGGCGCUUCCGCGUUUCUCACUGUGAUUUUCACAGAGAGAAGAUGCCAGCAUCCAUAGGAAAGCAUUGAGAAUGGAGGAGGAGAGUCCCCCGCCCCGGCGCUGGAAAAACAGGUACAUUUAACCCCUUCCACCCCCUAGAGCCCGGCGGGAGGGGGGCCCAGAGGGUGGGGGGGACCUAGAGACCCUAUAGUGCCAGGAAAACG